rnacentral:rRNA from 1 species
UACGUAGGGGGCAAGCGUUGUCCGGAAUUACUGGGCGUAAAGGGAGCGUAGGCGGACAUUUAAGUCAGGGGUGAAAUCCCAGAGCUCAACUCUGGAACUGCCUUUGAUACUGGGUGUCUUGAGUGUGAGAGAGGUAUGUGGAACUCCGAGUGUAGAGGUGAAAUUCGUAGAUAUUCGGAAGAACACCAGUGGCGAAGGCGACAUACUGGCUCAUUACUGACGCUGAGGCUCGAAAGCGUGGGGAGCAAACAGG